rnacentral:tRNA from 1 species
UUUAAGUAGUUAAUUUAUGAUAACAGUUGGUUUCGGCCCUUCAAUAGCAUUAAUUUUGCCUUAUUC